rnacentral:ribozyme from 1 species
AAUAGAUAAAGCAACAAUAAAGAAAAUAUAACUUCUUUUUUCUUUAGUUUUUCAAUUUAAUUUUUCUUUUCUUCUCUGUUCUCUGACUUUUUCCCAUUCCUUAGGUUAUUAGAUUAUUGAAGAAAAAUAAUUUUUUGGAAGCUAGUUUUUAAGUAAAGUGGCAAAAAUCCAAUGAGAAA